rnacentral:lncRNA from 1 species
GUUGACAGCUUGGUGAGACCCUGCCUGAGCUACGUUCAGGGCGGCCCCAGCCCGUCUGGGCAGUGCUGCGGCGGCGUCCAGAGCCUCCAUAACCAGGCGCAAUCCAAGAGCGAUCGCCAAGCCGCUUGCAACUGCCUCAAGGGGAUCGCUCGUGGCAUCCACAAUCUCAACGAGGACAACGCCCGCAGCCUCGCCCCCAAGUGCGGUGUCAACCUCCCAUACCACAUCAGUCUCGACAUCGACUGCAACAGGUGAUUAAUUCACAUGCAAGCAUACAUAUAUGAACAUUCAUCCACGUAAAAUUUAUUGAUAUUAACAUUAAUCAAAUCUUUGCACGCAUGAUUGACCUGCAGUGUGUAAUGAGCGACGAUCCGUCAAGCUGGUGCUCAGCUCAUCCAUCCACGUGGAGUUGAAGCGCGCAGCCUCUAUCCCUAUGUAGUAUGGGCACUAGUUAUGCGAGUUUAUACUGAAUAUGAAUAAGAACUCUCUCCUGCUGGCUUGCUGGUACUCCUCUGGAGGAGAUCAGUAUCUGUGUAUCUGAGAGUUGAGAGUUUGUACCAUGGGCACUCCCAGUGUUUAUGGACUUUUAUACAUACAGCUCGUUCUGUUCAGUGUGUGACUUAUCUCUGUUUCCUCACGUUCGCCUGUCAUAUACUCCUUCCAUCCGGUAUUAGUUGACGCUCAAACGGAUAUAUCUGGGCCUAUUUUAAUAAUAGGCACAUCAGUUUAAGCGUGAGGUUUUUUACGGUACCCUGGUAUUUCAAUGACUAGUGUGGGAGUACCGAUCAAAUCCAUCCGCGCUGGUUUGCAGUG